rnacentral:piRNA from 1 species
UCCAGACAAUGGAGAGUGUCAAUUUGAUGA